GGAGUGACGCAGUGGUUGGCGUGUUGGGCUCAUAACCCAAAGGUCCGUGGAUCGAAACCUCGC
rnacentral:tRNA from 16 species